AAACUCAAAUGAAUUGACGGGACCCGCACAAGCGGUGGAUGAUGUGGUUUAAUCGAUGCAACGCGAAAACCUUACCCACCUUUGACAUGUACGGAAUCCUUUAGAGAUAGAGGGGUGCUCGAAAGAGAGCCGUAACACAGGUGCUGCAUGGCUGUCGUCAGCUCGUGUCGUGAGAUGUUGGGUUAAGUCCCGCAACGAGCGCAACCCUUGUCAUUAGUUGCUACAUUUGGUUGGGCACUCUAAUGAGACUGCCGGUGACAAGCCGGAGGAAGGUGGGGAUGACGUCAAGUCCUCAUGGCCCUUAUAGGUGGGGCUACACACGUCAUACAAUGGCUGGUACAAAGGGUUGCCAACCCGCGAGGGGGAGCUAAUCCCACAAAGCCAGUCGUAGUCCGGAUCGUAGUCUGCAACUCGACUACGUGAAGUCGGAAUCGCUAGUAAUCGUGGAUCAGAAUGUCACGGUGAAUACGUUCCCGGGUCUU
rnacentral:rRNA from 1 species